rnacentral:rRNA from 1 species
AACUUGCUCUUAUGAAGUUAGCGGCGGACGGGUGAGUAACACGUGGGUAACCUGCCCAUAAGACUGGGAUAACUCCGGGAAACCGGGGCUAAUACCGGAUAACAUUUUGAACCGCAUGGUUCGAAAUUGAAAGGCGGCUUCGGCUGUCACUUAUGGAUGGACCCGCGUCGCAUUAGCUAGUUGGUGAGGUAACGGCUCACCAAGGCAACGAUGCGUAGCCGACCUGAGAGGGUGAUCGGCCACACUGGGACUGAGACACGGCCCAGACUCCUACGGGAGGCAGCAGUAGGGAAUCUUCCGCAAUGGACGAAAGUCUGACGGAGCAACGCCGCGUGAGUGAUGAAGGCUUUCGGGUCGUAAAACUCUGUUGUUAGGGAAGAACAAGUGCUAGUUGAAUAAGCUGGCACCUUGACGGUACCUAACCAGAAAGCCACGGCUAACUACUUGCCAGCAGCCGCGGUAAUACGUAGGUGGCAAGCGUUAUCCGGAAUUAUUGGGCGUAAAGCGCGCGCAGGUGGUUCUUUAGUCUGAUGU